UACGUAGGGUGCAAGCGUUGUCCGGAAUUAUUGGGCGUAAAGAGCUCGUAGGCGGUCUGUCGCGUCGGCUGUGAAAACCCGGAGCUCAACUUCGGGCCUGCAGUCGAUACGGGCAAACUGGGAGUGUUGCAGGGGAGACUGGAAUUCCUGGUGUAGCGGUGAAAUGCGCAGAUAUCAGGAGGAACACCGGUGGCGAAGGCGGGUCUCUGGGCAACAACGUGACGUGAGGAGCGAAAGCGUGGGGAGCAAACAGG
rnacentral:rRNA from 1 species